rnacentral:lncRNA from 10 species
AGAGGAGUGGCCAGAGUGUGAGAAGAAGGGCUGGCUCCUCGAGGUAAGGAAGCCACCACGUCUUCAUCCUGCCAGGCCCAAUUUAGGGGGCACAAUUAAAUAUGAGUUCCAUGCACAGGGAGUGAUUUUUAGGGUAUGUUCCCAGUACUCCAUGGGACACACUUCCCUUCAAAGAUUACUCUUUAUCUGAAAUUCCAUUUAACUUGGAUGUUCUGUAUUUUGAUUCGGAAAAUCUGGCAACUGUGUUCCAUGGCAGCCUGUUUAAAACUUCUUUUAAGCCCCAUUUCUGACGGCCUCAUUCCUUAAGCAGGUCGUGAGUGAGGCAGUGUUAUUCCAGGGGAGACAGACACAGGCCCUUCCCAAGAGGAGUUUGAAAGCUGGGAAGAGCAGAGGCCGGGAUGCCUGGUUCUUUGGUGAAGGAAGCAGGGGGGUGCGGAAGAGGAGAAUUCAUUUGUGCGUUGUUAGUUAGGGCCCUUCCUGCCUUGGUGGCCGAGGUUGUGCCAGCAAAUUGGGCUCUGCUCUCAGACGCCGGGGCCUCUCUGGGCAGAGUGGGCACGCUCUCAGCCUUAGCUGUGGAAGAGUCAGAACCUGAAGGCUCACACGCUGUCUUUGCCCUGGUCACCUCUGACUGGGUUAGUGACAGCCUUGGCAGCAAGCAGUAACCCCGAAGGGACAUACUGGCUGGCAUAGACUCGGAGGUGUGGCCUCACCCAGACCACGGCCUGCCCAGUCCCCCAUAGCCUGUGUGUGACGCUCUGGCCCUGUGUGUGAUGUCCCCUCUGUGGUUCUCAGCGUCCCUCCUGGGAGCUUAGCCGCCACCACUCUGUGAAAGCAUGGCGGGCUUUCCUGGCCCACCAAACUGGAAACAUAUAGUAAAGCCAGUAGCCCCCAGGAACAGUCCACACUGGGGGCGGGACUCCUGCAUGGAAU